GGGGGGGGGGGGGGGGGGGCUGGGGGGGGGGGGGUGGAGCGGAAGGGCGGGAGUGGUGUGGUGUGGGGUGGUGGGGAAGGGGGGCGUGGGGCGUGGGUCAACUGCCCUUGGCUUGUGUGUGAGUUGCGGGAGCGGUGGCGAAUACGGUGUCGGCGCUGCUGCUGAGUUGAGGGUGAUGGAAAUGUUCGGUGGUGUAGGAUGGACUUGCGGCUUAUCAGCUUGUUGGUGGGGCCGUGUCUUACCAAUGCUUUGAGGGGUAGCCCGCCUGAGAGGGUGACCGGCCACAUUGGGACUGAGAUACGGCCCAGACUCCUACGGGAGGCAGCAGUGGGGAAUAGUGCACAAUGGGCGGAAGCCUGAUGCAGCAACGCCGCGUGCGGGAUGACGGCCUUCGGGUUGUAAACCGCUUUCGCCUGUGACGAAGCGUGAGUGACGGUAAUGGGUAAAGAGGCACCGGCUAACUACGUG
rnacentral:rRNA from 1 species